rnacentral:rRNA from 1 species
CCUACGGGAGGCAGCAGUGAGGAAUAUUGGUCAAUGGUCGGGAGACUGAACCCGCCAAGCCGCGUGAGGGAUGACGGUACAGAGUAUCGUAAACCUCUUUUGUCAGGGAACAAAGGCGGGGACGUGUCCCCGGAUGAGUGUACCUGAAGAAAAAGCAUCGGCUCACUCCGUGCCAGCAGCCGCGGUAAAACGGAGGAUGCGAGCGUUAACCGAUUUAAUUGGGUUUAAGGGGUGCUCAGCGGAAGAUCAAGUCAGCGGUAAAAAUGGGAGGCGCAACCUCUUCGAGCCGUUGAAACUGGUUUUCUUGAGUGAGUGAGAAGUAUGCGGAAUGCGUGGUGUAGCGGUGAAAUGCAUAGAUAUCACGCAGAACUCCGAUUGCGAAGGCAGCAUACCGGCGCUCAACUGACGCUCAUGCACGAAAGUGUGGGUAUCGAACAGGAUUAGAUACCCGAGUAGUC